rnacentral:rRNA from 1 species
UACGGAGGGUGCAAGCGGUAUCCGGAUUCACUGGGUUUAAAGGGUGCGUAGGUGGGCUAGUAAGUCCGUGGGGAAAUCUCCAAGCUUAACUUGGAAACUGCCGUGGAUACUAUUAGUCUUGAAUAUUGUGGAGGUAAGCGGAAUAUGUCAUGUAGCGGUGAAAUGCUUAGAUAUGACAUAGAACACCGAUAGCGAAGGCAGCUUGCUACACAAUCAUUGACACUGAGGCACGAAAGCGUGGGGAUCAAACAGG